UUUUUGAAAUUAAUAAAAAGUAAUCUCCUGCCCAGUGAAUACAUUUAAACGGCCGCGGUAUCAUAACCGUGCAAAGGUAGCAUAAUAAUUUGCCCAUUAAUUGUGGGCUAGAAUGAACGGGGUCACGAAAUAAGAGCUGUCUCAAUAAAUUAAAUAAAAACUAAUAUUUAAGUGAAGAAGCUUAAAUCAAAAUAAAGGACAAGAAGACCCUAUAGAGCUUUAUUUCCCCUCAUAAAUUAUGAAGGUCGAAUUCGGUUGGGGCGACCAAGGAAAAUUCAUCCUUAAUUAUAUAAGAUCCAUUCAUCCUUUCAAUGAUCCUUUUAAAGAUCAAUAAAUCAAGCUACCUUAGGGAUAACAGGCUAAUCCUAUUAUAGAGCUCUUAUCAACAAUAGGGAUUGGCACCUCGAUGUUGGCUUAGAAGAUCUCCAUAGCGCAAAAGCAAUGGAAAGAAGGUUUGUUCAACCUAUAAUAUUC
rnacentral:rRNA from 1 species